UGGGCUGCAGUAUCCGAUGGCUUCGUUUGUCUGAGCGUCGUUU
rnacentral:rRNA from 1 species